UACAGAGGUCUCAAGCGUUGUUCGGAUUCAUUGGGCGUAAAGGGUGCGUAGGCGGCGCGGUAAGUCGGGUGUGAAAUCUCGGAGCUUAACUCCGAAACUGCAUUCGAUACUGCCGUGCUUGAGGACUGGAGAGGAGACUGGAAUUUACGGUGGUAGCGGUGAAAUGCGUAGAUAUCGUAAGGAAGACCAGUGGCGAAGGCGGGUCUCGUGGACAGUUCUUGACGUGAGCACGAAGGCCAGGGGAGCAAACGGG
rnacentral:rRNA from 1 species